UACGUGGGGUGCAAGCGUUGUUCGGAAUUACUUGGCGUAAAGCGUGUGUAGGCGGCCGGUUAAGUCUGAUGUGAAAUCCCUGGGCUUAACACAGGAACUGCAUUGGAAACUGGCUGGCUCGAGUCCGGGAGAGGGUAGUGGAAUUCCUGGUGUAGAGGUGAAAUUCGUAGAUAUCAGGAGGAACACCGGUGGCGAAGGCGGCUACCUGGACCGGAACUGACGCUGAGACACGAAAGCGUGGGGAGCAAACAGG
rnacentral:rRNA from 1 species